GAGCUUUGUUAAUCCAAAAAAGGUAGCAAAAUAAUUUCGGAUUUUAAUUGAAUUCUUGUAAUGAACGAAAUAAAUUAAAUAAAUUUUUAUAUUAUAAAAAGUGAAAUAAUAAGAUAAGUGAAAAUACUUUUAUUUAUUAAUAAAAAGAAAAGUCCCUGGAAAUUUAAAAUUUAUUGGGGUAAUAUUAAAAAUAUAAUUCUAAAAAAUUAAUAAAAAAUUAAUUCAGGGAUAACAGGGUAAUAAUUUGCUACAUCGAUGUUGUAUUAUUUUAAUGGGUUCAAAAAAUUCCAAAAUUAAGAUUGUUCAUCUAAGAAAAAAUA
rnacentral:rRNA from 1 species